AACGAACGCUGGCGGCAGGCCUAACACAUGCAAGUCGAGCGCCCCGCAAGGGGAGCGGCGGACGGGUGAGUAACGCGUGGGAAUUUUCCUCAAGGUACGGAACAACUCAGGGAAACUUGGGCUAAUACCGUAUGAUGUCUAGCGACCAAAGAUUUAUCGCCUUGGGAUAAGCCCGCGUCAGAUUAGGUAGUUGGUGGGGUAACGGCCUACCAAGCCUGCGAUCUGUAGCUGGUCUGAGAGGACGAUCAGCCACACUGGACUGAGACACGGCCCAGACUCCUACGGGAGGCAGCAGUGGGGAAUCUUGCGCAAUGGGCGAAAGCCUGACGCAGCCAUGCCGCGUGAAUGAUGAAGGUCUUAGGAUUGUAAAGUUCUUUCGCCCGUGACGAUGAUGACGUAACGGGAGAAGAAGCCCCGGNUAACUUCGUGCCAGCAGCCGCAGUAAU
rnacentral:rRNA from 1 species